rnacentral:rRNA from 1 species
UACAGAGGUCCCGAGCGUUGUUCGGAUUCACUGGGCGUAAAGGGUGCGUAGGUGGUGAGGCAAGUCGGAUGUGAAAGCUCCGGGCUCAACCCGGAAAUGGCAUUGGAAACUGCCUUGCUGGAGGUUUGGAGGGGGGACUGGAAUUCUCGGUGUAGCAGUGAAAUGCGUAGAUAUCGAGAGGAACACCAGUGGCGAAGGCGGGUCCCUGGACAACACCUGACACUGAGGCACGAAAGCUAGGGGAGCAAAC